rnacentral:rRNA from 1 species
CCUACGGGUGGCAGCAGUGGGGAAUAUUGGGCAAUGGGCGCAAGCCUGACCCAGCAACGCCGCGUGAAGGAAGAAGGCUUUCGGGUUGUAAACUUCUUUUCUGAGGGACGAAGAAAGUGACGGUACCUCAGUAAUACGCCACGGCUAACUACGUGCCAGCAGCCGCGGUACUACGUCGGUGGCAAGCGUUAUACGGAUUUAUUGGGUUUAAAGGGGGCGUAGGCUGAUUUUUAAGUCAGCGGUAAACUGUCCGGGCUCAACCCGGGCCGGCCGUGGAAACUGGCGAUCUUGAGUGGGAGAGAGGUAUGCGGAAUGCGUGGUGUAGCGGUGAAAUGCAUAGAUAUCACGCAGAACUCCGAUUGCGAAGGCAGCAUACCGGCGCUCGACUGACGCUGAGGGACGAAAGCGUGGGGAUCGAACAGGAUUAGAUACCCCGGUAGUC